AUGAUUACAAAUUAUCAUUCCACCACAUCUUGGAAAAUUACACAAGAGAAAAGAUUACAUCAAAAUAAGGCUUGUGCUUGCCAAAUCUUCAAAGUACCAAUACAAACCCAUGUUUCAAGCUUCAUGUUGUCACCAUUGUCAUUUAAGCUCUAUACCAUUACUCAGGCCAUCCAAAUUCCAUGA